UACGUAGGGUGCGAGCGUUGUCCGGAAUUAUUGGGCGUAAAGAGCUUGUAGACGGUUUGUCGCGUCUGCCGUGAAAAUCCGAGGCUCAACCUCGGACUUGCGGUGGGUACGGGCAGACUAGAGUGUGGUAGGGGAGACUGGAAUUCCUGGUGUAGCGGUGAAAUGCGCAGAUAUCAGGAGGAACACCGAUGGCGAAGGCAGGUCUCUGGGCCACUACUGACGCUGAGAAGCGAAAGCGUGGGGAGCGAACAGG
rnacentral:rRNA from 1 species